UACGUAGGCAGCAAGCGUUGUUCGGAAUUACUGGGCGUAAAGAGUUCGUAGGCGGCGCAGAAAGUAGGGUGUGAAAGCCCUCGGCUCAACCGAGGAAUUGCGCUCUAAACUACUGUACUCGAGGGACCUAGAGGUGAGCAGAACUGAUGGUGGAGCGGUGAAAUGCGUUGAUAUCAUCAGGAAUACCGGAGGCGAAGGCGGCUCACUGGGGGUCUUCUGACGCUGAGGAACGAAAGCCAGGGGAGCGAACGGG
rnacentral:rRNA from 1 species